rnacentral:rRNA from 1 species
UAGGGAAUUGUUCGCAAUGGGCGCAAGCCUGACGACGCAACGCCGCGUGGAGGAUGAAGACCUUCGGGUCGUAAACUCCUUUCGAUCGAGACGAAUGGCCUUCGGGUGAAUAAUCCGGAGGAAUGACGGUACCGAGAGAAGAAGCCCCGGCUAACUCCGUGCCAGCAGCCGCGGUAAUACGGGGGGGGCAAGCGUUGUUCGGAAUUACUGGGCGUAAAGGGCUCGUAGGCGGCCAACUAAGUCAGACGUGAAAUCCCUCGGCUCAACUGGGGAACUGCGUCUGAUACUGGAUGGCUUGAGUGUGGGAGAGGGAUGCGGAAUUCCAGGUGUAACGGUGAAAUGCGUAGAUAUCUGGAGGAACACCGGUGGCGAAGGCGGCAUCCUGGACCCCGACUGACGCUGAGGAGCGAAAGCCAGGGGAGCAAACGGG